GCCGACAUGGCUAAGGCGAGCGAGAUAAUUAGAAAGGGUGUGGGUUCGAAUCCCACUCUUGGCA
rnacentral:tRNA from 1 species